AACGUAGGUACCGAGCGUUAUCCGGAUUUACUGGGCGUAAAGCGCGUUCAGGCGGUUUGGCAAGUCGGGCAUGAAAUCUCUCGGCUCAACCGGGAGAGGUUGUCCGAUACUUCCAGACUUGAGGGCAGUAGAGGGUGGUGGAAUUCCGGGUGUAGUGGUGAAAUGCGUAGAUAUCCGGAGGAACACCAGUGGCGAAAGCGGCCACGUGGACUGCACCUGACGCUGACACGCGAAAGCUAGGGGAGCGAACGGG
rnacentral:rRNA from 1 species